rnacentral:rRNA from 1 species
ACUAAGCGUACACGGUGGAUGCCCUGGCAGUCAGAGGCGAUGAAGGACGUGCUAAUCUGCGAUAAGCGUCGGUAAGGUGAUAUGAACCGUUAUAACCGGCGAUUUCCGAAUGGGGAAACCCAGUGUGUUUCGACACACUAUCAUUAACUGAAUCCAUAGGUUAAUGAGGCGAACCGGGGGAACUGAAACAUCUAAGUACCCCGAGGAAAAGAAAUCAACCGAGAUUCCCCCAGUAGCGGCGAGCGAACGGGGAGGAGCCCAGAGCCUGAAUCAGUGUGUGUGUUAGUGGAAGCGUCUGGAAAGGCGCGCGAUACAGGGUGACAGCCCCGUACACAAAAAUGCACAUAUUGUGAGCUCGAUGAGUAGGGCGGGACACGUGGUAUCCUGUCUGAAUAUGGGGGGACCAUCCUCCAAGGCUAAAUACUCCUGACUGACCGAUAGUGAACCAGUACCGUGAGGGAAAGGCGAAAAGAACCCCGGCGAGGGGAGUGAAAAAGAACCUGAAACCGUGUACGUACAAGCAGUGGGAGCCUCUUUUAUGGGGUGACUGCGUACCUUUUGUAUAAUGGGUCAGCGACUUAUAUUCUGUAGCAAGGUUAACCGAAUAGGGGAGCCGAAGGGAAACCGAGUCUUAACUGGGCGUUAAGUUGCAGGGUAUAGACCCGAAACCCGGUGAUCUAGCCAUGGGCAGGUUGAAGGUUGGGUAACACUAACUGGAGGACCGAACCGACUAAUGUUGAAAAAUUAGCGGAUGACUUGUGGCUGGGGGUGAAAGGCCAAUCAAACCGGGAGAUAGCUGGUUCUCCCCGAAAGCUAUUUAGGUAGCGCCUCGUGAACUCAUCUCCGGGGGUAGAGCACUGUUUCGGCAAGGGGGUCAUCCCGACUUACCAACCCGAUGCAAACUGCGAAUACCGGAGAAUGUUAUCACGGGAGACACACGGCGGGUGCUAACGUCCGUCGUGAAGAGGGAAACAACCCAGACCGCCAGCUAAGGUCCCAAAGUCAUGGUUAAGUGGGAAACGAUGUGGGAAGGCCCAGACAGCCAGGAUGUUGGCUUAGAAGCAGCCAUCAUUUAAAGAAAGCGUAAUAGCUCACUGGUCGAGUCGGCCUGCGCGGAAGAUGUAACGGGGCUAAACCAUGCACCGAAGCUGCGGCAGCGACGCUGAUGCGUUGUUGGGUAGGGGAGCGUUCUGUAAGCCUGUGAAGGUGUGCUGUGAGGCAUGCUGGAGGUAUCAGAAGUGCGAAUGCUGACAUAAGUAACGAUAAAGCGGGUGAAAAGCCCGCUCGCCGGAAGACCAAGGGUUCCUGUCCAACGUUAAUCGGGGCAGGGUGAGUCGACCCCUAAGGCGAGGCCGAAAGGCGUAGUCGAUGGGAAACAGGUUAAUAUUCCUGUACUUGGUGUUACUGCGAAGGGGGGACGGAGAAGGCUAUGUUGGCCGGGCGACGGUUGUCCCGGUUUAAGCGUGUAGGCUGGUUUUCCAGGCAAAUCCGGAAAAUCAAGGCUGAGGCGUGAUGACGAGGCACUACGGUGCUGAAGCAACAAAUGCCCUGCUUCCAGGAAAAGCCUCUAAGCAUCAGGUAACAUCAAAUCGUACCCCAAACCGACACAGGUGGUCAGGUAGAGAAUACCAAGGCGCUUGAGAGAACUCGGGUGAAGGAACUAGGCAAAAUGGUGCCGUAACUUCGGGAGAAGGCACGCUGAUAUGUAGGUGAAGUCCCUCGCGGAUGGAGCUGAAAUCAGUCGAAGAUACCAGCUGGCUGCAACUGUUUAUUAAAAACACAGCACUGUGCAAACACGAAAGUGGACGUAUACGGUGUGACGCCUGCCCGGUGCCGGAAGGUUAAUUGAUGGGGUUAGCGCAAGCGAAGCUCUUGAUCGAAGCCCCGGUAAACGGCGGCCGUAACUAUAACGGUCCUAAGGUAGCGAAAUUCCUUGUCGGGUAAGUUCCGACCUGCACGAAUGGCGUAAUGAUGGCCAGGCUGUCUCCACCCGAGACUCAGUGAAAUUGAACUCGCUGUGAAGAUGCAGUGUACCCGCGGCAAGACGGAAAGACCCCGUGAACCUUUACUAUAGCUUGACACUGAACAUUGAGCCUUGAUGUGUAGGAUAGGUGGGAGGCUUUGAAGUGUGGACGCCAGUCUGCAUGGAGCCGACCUUGAAAUACCACCCUUUAAUGUUUGAUGUUCUAACGUUGACCCGUGAUCCGGGUUGCGGACAGUGUCUGGUGGGUAGUUUGACUGGGGCGGUCUCCUCCUAAAGAGUAACGGAGGAGCACGAAGGUUGGCUAAUCCUGGUCGGACAUCAGGAGGUUAGUGCAAUGGCAUAAGCCAGCUUGACUGCGAGCGUGACGGCGCGAGCAGGUGCGAAAGCAGGUCAUAGUGAUCCGGUGGUUCUGAAUGGAAGGGCCAUCGCUCAACGGAUAAAAGGUACUCCGGGGAUAACAGGCUGAUACCGCCCAAGAGUUCAUAUCGACGGCGGUGUUUGGCACCUCGAUGUCGGCUCAUCACAUCCUGGGGCUGAAGUAGGUCCCAAGGGUAUGGCUGUUCGCCAUUUAAAGUGGUACGCGAGCUGGGUUUAGAACGUCGUGAGACAGUUCGGUCCCUAUCUGCCGUGGGCGCUGGAGAACUGAGGGGGGCUGCUCCUAGUACGAGAGGACCGGAGUGGACGCAUCACUGGUGUUCGGGUUGUCAUGCCAAUGGCACUGCCCGGUAGCUAAAUGCGGAAGAGAUAAGUGCUGAAAGCAUCUAAGCACGAAACUUGCCCCGAGAUGAGUUCUCCCUGACUCCUUGAGAGUCCUGAAGGAACGUUGAAGACGACGACGUUGAUAGGCCGGGUGUGUAAGCGCAGCGAUGCGUUGAGCUAACCGGUACUAAUGAACCGUGAGGCUUAACC